GAUGAACGCUAGCUACAGGCCUAGCACAUGCAAGUCGAGGGGCAUCAUGGCGGCUGCUUGCAGCCGCUGAUGGCGACCGGCGCACGGGUGAGUAACGCGUAUCCAACCUGCCCAUGACCGGGGGAUAACCCGCAGAAAUGCGGACUAAUACCCCAUAUUGUCCGAGACAGGCAUCUUGCUUGGACCAAAGGAUUUCCGGUCACGGAUGGGGAUGUGUCCGAUUAGCUUGUUGGCGGGGCAACGGCCCACCAAGGCUUCGAUCGGUAGGGGUUCUGAGAGGAAGGUCCCCCACAUAGGAACUGAGACACGGUCCUAA
rnacentral:rRNA from 1 species